rnacentral:lncRNA from 1 species
UGAAAAAUAAGGCUAGACCAGUAGGCCAAGGCUCUUACAGGAAUAUUCGUUUUUGAAACUUAAAGAGUUUGGACUUUAUUCUAUAGGCAAGGGGGGAAUCCAUUGAAAAGAUCCAUGGGAUCAAAGAGUAUGAAUUAGUUAUUUAAAACAAGAAAAAGAAUGAAAAUACCUCUGGCAGCCAAGAGAAUACUAGAGAAGGACAAAAAUGAUUAGAGGCAUGGAUGUUAAUUUGGCCAGUGGGACAAGUUAAAAGUUCCAAGAAGCUGCUCUAUCUCCCUAGAAGUGGGAUUUGAUGGUUGCUGCUGUGAAAUGAUAAUGCUCAGAAGGCUGGGUGGAUGGAAUUUGCCUUUCCAUCGAAUGUGGAGGUUAAGAUAUCAAAUAGGAAUUUUUCAAAAAUGAGUUACUUAUAACAUUUCAGGAGACUGAAAUAUUUAAAUUUCUGAAAAUAUUUAACUGUUACAUAGAGAAAGAGAAAUCAGCUUUGGCAUAUUAUUAUAAGCAGUCAGAGAUAUGAUGUGGACAAAAAAGUGGCAUAAUGACAUACAAGGAAAAUAUGAGACAUUUGGUCAUUACUUGAAAUUAAGCUGAUGCAGAAGAAUUUCAUUUCCACUCCAAAUAAAAUUACGAAAGAAGUGUUUUUUGAAAUACAUAGGGUAAAAGUCAAGAAAGGGAUUCCUUAAAUUCCAGAAUGAAGAAAUAUUUUCAAGAUAAGAUCAAUAGGAGUUCCUGUUGUGGUGCAGUGGAAACAAAUCUGACUAGAGUUCAUGAAGAUGUGGGUUCCAUCCCUGGCCUCGCUCAGUGAGCCAGGGAUCUGGCAUUGCCAUGAGCUGUGGUGUAUGUGGGUUGCAGACAUGGCUUGGAUCCCAUAUUGCUAUUGCUGUGGCUAUGGCCGACAGCAGAAGCUCCGAUUUGACCCCUAGCUUGGAAACUUCCAUAUGCUGCCGGCCCUAAAAAGCCAAAAAAAAAAAAAAAUCAAUAAUCAGAGGCCCCAGUUUCCCAAGAGCAGUGCGGGUCACAAGCUUCAUACACAAGGAGACUGAAUGUGUAUUAGCCACAAAAAGCUUUGAGACAGGAAGGUAUUCUACUCUGUCCUUGAAAGCAAAAUUCUGACCACUAGCCAUGAGUGAAAAUGAGUCAAAUGUGACAAACAUGCAACAUGAAACAUCUUUAAGCAAAUAUGUGAGUUCCAAAUUUAUAGUAUUUAUGUGAGAAUGGCAAGUUGAGAAAUUAACAAAAUUCUAAUAUAAACUCAGACCAUGACAACAGUAAAGAAGUGACUGUGAACUGGCACUCAGUGAAUGUUACUGCAAAUGGGGCUCUUGAAGGACCCCUGUAUACGUCAGCUUGGGCUGUCAUGACAGUACCACAGACUGGGUGGCUUAAACAACAGAUAUUUAUUUUUGCUCACAGUUCUGGAGGCCAGAAGUCCAAGAUAGUGUUGGUAGGGUUGGUUUCUGGUGAGGCUUCUCUUCUUGGCUUGCAGGUGGCUGCAUUCUCACUGUGUCCUCACACGGGGUUUCCUCUCUGUGCGUAUUCCUGUUAACUCAUCCUCUUCUUAUGAGAAUACAUGUCUCACUAGAUUAGGACCCUAACUUUAGGACCUCUUGAAAAGCCUUAGUCUUAAUUACUUUAAUUACCUUGUUAAAAACCCUGUCUCCAAAUGCAGUCUUAUCAGGGGUGAGGACUUCAACUUAUGAAUUUUGAGAAGACAAUUCAUUUCAUAAACUCCAUGAAGAUUGCUUAAGAGUAAAACAGUCAAGUCAGAAAAUUUAACAAAAAGAAUUCACGCCCUAGAACUAAAAAUAAUAGAACUAUCCAGAGGAGACAUUAAAAUAAAUGUAUAAAGGUUUAAAUAGAUAAAAGAAGAUAAAUAACCACCUCAAAAAAAUAAUAACCUUGAAGAAGGACCCCAGUCUUGAGCUAGGGACAUGUAAGUGAUAUGGUUCAGAGAUUGUGAGCAAAUGCAUUUGGUAAACAUGUAGAUAAAUGUAAGUAAGUGUAAGUAAGUUGGAAAUAGAUCUGAUUAAGUUAAUCAGACAUGCAGCAUGGGUGUAAAAAUACAAAGAAUAUAAAAUAACAUACUACAGGAAACAUACAAGAUAAUUUUUAGAAAGGGAGGAGAAAGAAAAAUGAAAGACACAUUGGCUUAUGAUUUUCCUGGACUGAAAAGAGAUAUCAAUCUUUAGAAUGAUUGUUCUAAAGUAUAGCACAUACUUGACAGAAUGAUCAAACACAAAUCUGCACUAGAUAUAUUGCCAUAAAGCUUCAGAACUCACAUAAUCAGAAAAAAUCUUGAAAGCAAUCAAAGAUGAAAUAUAUAUUACAAUCAAAGGAAUAAAAAUUAAAAUCACAGAAGAUGUCUCACAGUCAUGAUGGAGAUAAGAAACCUAACGAAUGAUAAGAGUAGAUGUGAAAUACUUAUCAACCUAGAAUUCGAUACUUAGUCAAAGUGUAAUUCAGGGGUGAAUCUAAAUUUUUAAAAUAAUCAUAACAAUGCUGUGACAAUGAAUGAUUCAUAGACUCUCGCCAAAACAAAACAAAGCAAAACCAGAGCAUGAAAAUCAGGAAGAGGAAAUUGAAUACCCUCCUUUCUAAAUAAGGAUGAGAUGGUUAGGAAAUACUUUGAUAAAUGCAUAGGUGAAUGUAUGCAAACAUGGACAGUUAGAAUGCAGGUUGAUAGACACAUAGAUGAUGAAUAUUAUUAAUUUCUUGGACAUUUUAGAGCUGGUAUUUUACAAGACACAAACAAGACAAGUUCAUGUGGUNAUGUCAAAGUUCCCAGGCCAGGGAUCAAACCCGAGCCACAUCAGUGACAACACCAGACCUUAACCAUUAGGCACCCAGGGGAUGCCUCUAAAGCCUUCCUUGGUUUGGGAAGAGAUUAAACAUAUCUUUUAACCCUUACUAAGUGUACAUGUUUAAAAUUUAUAAGUGAACACCAACAGAAGAGAAAGACUAUUCAAUAUUCAGUCAAAGAAAAGGAAAAGGAGGAAGGGAUAAAGAAGUUGGUAUCAGUCUAACAGCAGGAUAAAUAAUUUGGAUGUAAAAGAUAAAGACCAACUAGGGUAAAAUGGUUUCCUCUGUGGAGCAAAGGGGAUAAAAUUUGGGAGAAUUACAAAUUGGGCUUUAAAUCUUUCCAAUGUAUCACUUCUGGAAAAAUAAUCCAAUAGAGCAAAAUGUUAACGUAUUAAAUCUGUGGAUAAGCAGGAUUUGUUAAUUGUAACAAUCAGUAUAUUUCUGUAAGUUUUAAAUGUGUAAUUACCAUAGUAACAAGUUUACAGAUGUACAUUGGUAUCAGAAUGAACUGUGUUCUUCUCCCAUUCUUCAUAAUUACUAUGUAACUUGGGUAAAAUCAUUCCAGUUCUUUAGGUUCCACUUGUUUAAUUUUUAAAUGUGUACAAUAUUAUGAUAUUUCCUUCCUUUCAGGGUUGUUUUAACAGUAUGAAGUGUAUGGUACAGUACUUGGAGGAAAUAUAUGGAAACUGUUGGAAAUUAAAUAGGUUAUUUCAUGCAGCAGCAUCAAACCAAGAAAAGAAAAUUUUUAAAAAGGGAAAAGAGGUAUCACGUGUUUCACAUGCAAGCAAAAUGUUCAAAUUACUGAUAGUGACCAUUGGGUUUAACUCUAAUGAGGUCACUGAUGAGCAGUUUGGGAAGCUUGGUGAGAGCUGGAAACUAUGGGUUAGAGCUGGAAAAAGUCGGACUGAUAAGAAAAAGCUUGCAGUAUAUUGUUUGAAACAAGAAGGCAAGGAAAAAUCACCUACUUAUUUAUAGAAGCAAGAAAGAAAACAGGAGUUUUAAAAACGGCAGGCUGCAAAUGGGAAGUAUUUUAAGUAGUUUGGUUGUGGAGAAAAAUGGGUCAGUGACUAGACGUAGACAGAGGGGUGUGUGUGUGUGUGUGUGUGUGUGUGUGUGUGUGUGUGUGUAAUGGUGGUAUCCGGGCAUGUUAACACACUGAAAGGAAAGGUCCAAUAGUGAGGGGGAAGGUGAAAAACAUAGGUGCAAAAGUAGGGCACGGAUGGAUUAAGGUCCUAGAAGAGACAGUAGGGAUGGGACUCAAGAACACAGGUGGGAGUUCCCGUCUUGGUGCAGCGGAAACAAAUCCGACUAGGAACCAUGAGGUUGCGGCUUCAAUUGCUGGCCUCGCUCAGUGUGUUGAGGAUCCUGCAUUGCUGUGAGCAGGAUCAGAUGCGGUCAAAUCUGGCGUGGCUGUGGCUGUGGUGUAGGCCGGCAGCUGUCGCUCUGAUUUGACCUCUCGCCUAGGAACCUCCAUAUGCCAUGGGUGCGGCCCUAAAAAGACAAAAGCCAAAAAAACCAAACCAAAACAAAACAAAACAAAAAACCCACAGGUGGAAGAGUUGGCCAAGCAAGAGAGAAUCCUUGUCUGCAAUUAGAAGAAAGUUGAAUGUGCGCUGACAGUGAUAGUGUUUACGUGUGAGAGAAGGACAAUGAGGGAGUUUAUGACCCAUCCCUUCAAAUUUAUCUGUGAAAGAUACAAGGCAAUGUCCUCCAUCCACUGAGAAAGAACAUGUACUUUUGUUAUUGUUGUUUGUGUGCUUCUCCAUCAAGUGUAAGGACUCAGGCAUCGAACUACUCCAUAAGGGGUGCUUCCUCUGAUGGGAAAAUUGGAUUCAGGCCCAAGACUCGAAAGAAGGGUUUUUAUCUGUGAACCAUCAUUGUUUGAGACUUCAGAUCACCACACUCAUUUUAGAAAGUCAAGAAGGGUCCACUCCAUGGAGGGGACGGAUGUGGGAGAGUUACUGGCUCAGCCUUUGGGGAAAUAAACAGGAACCAAGAGUCCACAUUUCCGUGUCCUCUACAAAAUCAGCUUUCCAAAAAUAGAUCCUACAAGCUGUAGUCACAGUUGAAUGUCAUGUUUCUAUUAUUGCAAUGACAUAAAAUCAUUAAACUGCUGCUGGUAGUAAAAGCAGUCCUAUUUGGUAAUAGAACUGCUCUGUGCCCAUUCAAAGGGAAUUGCAUUUUAAAUGACAUGUGGAGAGCAAUGACGGAAGUGGCAUGAGGUGUGACUUCCCCUGUAAUUUAUUACACAUUCUCCUUUGAUCUUGCUGCAGCACUCAAGCUCUUUGUUCUACGAAGUGGUGUCUUACUGGCUGGCAUGUACGAGCUCAGGUCAUGAGAAGGUUUCACAAAAUUUUUUUUUGUGAGUCAUCUGCUAAUGCUUUAAUAAUAUUUCCUGGAUUUAAAGCACCUAAAAAAAUAUUAGGGAGUUCCUAUCAUGGCUCAGUGGAAAUGAAUCUGACUAGUAUCCAUGAGGACACAGGUUGGAUCUCUGGCCUUGUUCAGUGGGUUAAGGAUCUGGUGUUGCCGUGAGCUGUAGUAUAGGUCACAGAUGCAGCUCAGAUCCAGCGUUACUGUGGCUGUGGUGUAGGCCUGGCAGCUACAGCUCUGAUUGGACCCCUAGACUGGGAACCUCCAUAUG